rnacentral:lncRNA from 1 species
UGGCCAUUUUUCCGCUGGGGGGUCUUGGGACCCCGAACUUCGGGGGCGGUUUUUUGGGCGCGGCUGUGCCCGUGGCCUAUUUUUGACACACGGAGGCCGCCCGCCAAGUCUGGUGCCAUUCCGAGUCCCGCGGACGAACUUCGCCCACGCCCCCCACCAAGGCUAUAGCCCACCGUUUUUUGGCCAUUUUUCCGCUGGGGGGUCUUGGGACCCCGAACUUCGGGGGCUGUUUAUUGGGCGCGGCUGUGCCCGUGGCCUAUUUUUGGCACACGGAGGCCGCCCGCCAAGUCUGGUGCCAUUCCGAGUCCCGCGGACGAACUUCGCCCACGCACCCCACCAAGGCUUUAGCCCACCGUUUUUUGGCCAUUUUUCCGCUGGGGGGUCUUGGGACCCCGAACUUCGGGGGUUGUUUAUUGGGCGCGGCUGUGCCCGUGGCCUAUUUUUGGCACACGGAGGCCGCCCGCCAAGUCUGGUGCCAUUCCGAGUCCCACGGACGAACUUCGCCCACGCCCCCGACCAAGGCUAUAGCCCACCGUUUUUUGGCCAUUUUUCCGCUGGGGGGUCUUGGGACCCCCAACUUCGGGGGCUGUUUUUUGGGCGCCGCUGUGCCCGUGGCCUAUUUUUGGCACACGGAGGCCGCCCGCCAAGUCUGGUGCCAUUCCGAGUCCCGCGGACGAACUUCGCCCACGCCCCCCACCAAGGCUAUAGCCCACCCAUUUUUUGGCCAUUUUUCCGCUGGGGGGUCUUGGGACCCCGAACUUCGGGGGCUGUUUUUUGGGCGCGGCUGUGCCCGUGGCCUAUUUUUGGCACACGGAGGCCGCCCGCCAAGUCUGGUGCCAUUCCGAGUCCCGCGGACGAACUUCGCCCACGCACCCCACCAAGGCUAUAGCCCACCGUUUUUUGGCCAUUUUUCCGCUGGGGGGUCUUGGGACCCCGAAAUUCGGGGGUUGUUUUUUGGACGCGGCUGUGCCCGUGGCCUAUUUUUGGCACACGGAGGCCGCCCGCCAAGUCUGGUGCCAUUCCGAGUCCCACGGACGAACUUCGCCCACGCCCCCCACCAAGGCUAUAGCCCACCGUUUUUUGGCCAUUUUUCCGCUGGGGGGUCUUGGGACCCCGAACUUCGGGGGCUGUUUUUUGGGCGCGGCUGUGCCCGUGGCCUAUUUUUGGCACACGGAGGCCGCCCGCCAAGUCUGGUGCCAUUCCGAGUCCCGCGGACGAACUUCGCCCACGCCCCCCACCAAGGCUAUAGCCCACCCGUUUUUUGGCCAUUUUUCCGCUGGGGGGUCUUGGGACCCCGAACUUCGGGGGCUGUUUUUUGGGCGCGGCUGUGCCCGUGGCCUAUUUUUGGCACACGGAGGCCGCCCGCCAAGUCUGGUGCCAUUCCGAGUCCCACGGACGAACUUCGCCCACGCCCCCCACCAAGGCUAUAGCCCACCGUUUUUUGGCCAUUUUUCCGCUGGGGGUCUUGGGACCCCGAACUUCGGGGGUUGUUUUUUGGGCGCGGCUGUGCCCGUGGCCUAUUUUCGGCACACGGAGGCCGCCCGCCAAGUCUGGUGCCAUUCCGAGUCCCGCGGACGAACUUCGCCCACGCCCCCCACCAAGGCUAUAGCCCACCGUUUUUUGGCCAUUUUUCCGCUGGGGUGUCUUGGGACCCCGAACUUCGGGGGCUGUUUUUUGGACGCGGCUGUGCCCGUGGCCUAUUUUUGGCACACGGAGGCCGCCCGCCAAGUCUGGUGCCAUUCCGAGUCCCGCGGACAAACUUCGCCCACGCCCCCCACCAAGGCUAUAGCCCACCCGUUUUUUGGCCAUUUUUCCGCUGGGGGGUCUUGGGACCCCGAACUUCGGGGGCUGUUUUUUGGGCGCGGAUGUGCCCGUGGCCUAUUUUUGGCACACGGAGGCCGCCCGCCAAGUCUGGUGCCAUUCCGAGUCCCGCGGACGAACUUCGCCCACGCCCCCCACCAAGGCUAUAGCCCACCCGUUUUUUGGCCAUUUUUCCGCUGGGGGAUCUUGGGACCCCGAACUUCGGGGGCUGUUUUUUGGGCGCGGCUGUGCCCGUGGCCUAUUUUUGGCACACGGAGGCCGCCCGCCAUGUCUGGUGCCAUUCCGAGUGCCGCGGACGAACUUCGCCCACGCCCCCCACCAAGGCUAUAGCCCACCCGUUUUUUGGCCAUUUUUCCGCUGGGGGGUCUUGGGACCCCGAACUUCGGGGGUUGUUUAUUGGGCGCGGCUGUGCCCGUGGCCUAUUUUUGGCACACGGAGGCCGCCCGCCAAGUCUGGUGCCAUUCCGAGUCCCACGGACGAACUUCGCCCACGCCCCCGACCAAGGCUAUAGCCCACCGUUUUUUGGCCAUUUUUCCGCUGGGGGGUCUUGGGACCCCGAACUUCGGGGGCUGUUUUUUGGGCGCGGCUGGGCCCGUGGCCUAUUUUUGGCACACGGAGGCCGCCCGCCAAGUCUGGUGCCAUUCCGAGUCCCGCGGACGAACUUCGCCCACGCCCCCCACCAAGGCUAUAGCCCACCCGUUUUUUGGCCGUUUUUCCGCUGGGGGGUCUUGGGACCCAAACUUCGGGGGCUAUUUUUUGGGCGCGGCUGUGCCCGUGGUUUAUUUUUGGCACACGGAGGCCGCCCGCCAAGUCUGGUGCCAUUCCGAGUCCCGCGGACGAACUUCGCCCACGCACCCCACCAAGGCUUUAGCCCACCGUUUUUUGGCCAUUUUUCCGCUGGGGGGUCUUGGGACCCCGAACUUCGGGGGUUGUUUUUUCGGCGCGGCUGUGCCGGUGGCCUAUUUUUGGCACACGGAGGCCGCCCGCCAAGUCUGGUGCCAUUCCGAGUCCCACGGACGAACUUCGCCCACGCCCCCCACCAAGGCUAUAGCCCACCGUUUUUUGGCCAUUUUUCCGCUGGGGGGUCUUGGGACCCCGAACUUCGGGGGCUGUUUUUUGGGCGCGGC